CUACGGGUCGCAGCAGUGGGGGAUAUUGCACAAUGGGGGAAACCCUGAUGCAGCAACGCCGCGUGAAGGAAGACGGAUUUCGGUCUGUAAACUUCUAUCAGCAGGGAUGAAAAUGACAGUACCUGACUAAGAAGCCCCGGCUAACUACGUGCCAGCAGCCGCGGUAAUACGUAGGGGGCAAGCGUUAUCCGGAAUUACUGGGUGUAAAGGGUACGUAGGCGGCUGAUCAAGUCAGAUGUGAAAGCCCGGGGCUCAACCCCGGGACUGCAUUUGAAACUGGUCGGCUAGAGUGCAGGAGAGGAAAGUGGAAUUCCUAGUGUAGCGGUGAAAUGCGUAGAUAUUAGGAAGAACACCAGUGGCGAAGGCGGCUUUCUGGACUGUAACUGACGCUGAGGUACGAAAGCGUGGGGAGCGAACAGGAUUAGAUACCCUAGUAGUC
rnacentral:rRNA from 1 species